rnacentral:rRNA from 1 species
UACAGAGGUCCCGAGCGUUGUUCGGAUUCAUUGGGCGUAAAGGGUGCGUAGGCGGCGGGGUAAGUUUGAUGUGAAAUCCCGGGGCUCAACCCUGGAAUUGCAUUGAAUACUACCUUGCUGGAGUACCGGAGAGGAAACUGGAAUUUACGGUGUAGCAGUGAAAUGCGUAGAGAUCGUAAGGAAGACCAGUGGCGAAGGCGAGUUUCUGGACGGUAACUGACGCUGAGGCACGAAGGCCAGGGGAGCAAACGGG